rnacentral:rRNA from 1 species
AUGAACGCUAGCGACAGGCUUAACACAUGCAAGUCGAGGGGCAGCAUGAUUUGUAGCAAUACAGAUUGAUGGCGACCGGCGCACGGGUGAGUAACGCGUAUGCAACUUACCUAUCAGAGGGGGAUAGCCCGGCGAAAGUCGGAUUAAUACCCCAUAAAACAGGGGUCCCGCAUGGGAAUAUUUGUUAAAGAUUCAUCGCUGAUAGAUAGGCAUGCGUUCCAUUAGGCAGUUGGCGGGGUAACGGCCCACCAAACCGACGAUGGAUAGGGGUUCUGAGAGGAAGGUCCCCCACAUUGGUACUGAGACACGGACCAAACUCCUACGGGAGGCAGCAGUGAGGAAUAUUGGUCAAUGGCCGAGAGGCUGAACCAGCCAAGUCGCGUGAAGGAAGAAGGAUCUAUGGUUUGUAAACUUCUUUUAUAGGGGAAUAAAGUGGAGGACGUGUCCUUUUUUGUAUGUACCCUAUGAAUAAGCAUCGGCUAACUCCGUGCCAGCAGCCGCGGUAAUACGGAGGAUGCGAGCGUUAUCCGGAUUUAUUGGGUUUAAAGGGUGCGUAGGUGGUGAUUUAAGUCAGCGGUGAAAGUUUGUGGCUCAACCAUAAAAUUGCCGUUGAAACUGGGUUACUUGAGUGUGUUUGAGGUAGGCGGAAUGCGUGGUGUAGCGGUGAAAUGCAUAGAUAUCACGCAGAACUCCGAUUGCGAAGGCAGCUUACUAAACCAUAACUGACACUGAAGCACGAAAGCGUGGGGAUCAAACAGGAUUAGAUACCCUGGUAGUCCACGCUGUAAACGAUGAAUACUAGGUGUCGGGGAGCAUUGCUCUUCGGUGCCGCAGCAAACGCAAUAAGUAUUCCACCUGGGGAGUACGUUCGCAAGAAUGAAACUCAAAGGAAUUGACGGGGGCCCGCACAAGCGGAGGAACAUGUGGUUUAAUUCGAUGAUACGCGAGGAACCUUACCCGGGUUUGAACGUAGUCUGACCGGAGUGGAAACACUCUUUCUAGCAAUAGCAGAUUACGAGGUGCUGCAUGGUUGUCGUCAGCUCGUGCCGUGAGGUGUCGGCUUAAGUGCCAUAACGAGCGCAACCCUUAUCACUAGUUACUAACAGGUGAAGCUGAGGACUCUGGUGAGACUGCCAGCGUAAGCUGUGAGGAAGGUGGGGAUGACGUCAAAUCAGCACGGCCCUUACAUCCGGGGCGACACACGUGUUACAAUGGCAUGGACAAAGGGCAGCUACCUGGUGACAGGAUGCUAAUCUCCAAACCAUGUCUCAGUUCGGAUCGGAGUCUGCAACUCGACUCCGUGAAGCUGGAUUCGCUAGUAAUCGCGCAUCAGCCAUGGCGCGGUGAAUACGUUCCCGGGCCUUGUACACACCGCCCGUCAAGCCAUGGGAGCCGGGGGUACCUGAAGUCCGUAACCGCAAGGAUCGGCCUAGGGUAAAACUGGUGACUGGGGCU